rnacentral:tRNA from 1 species
GCCUGGGUGGCUCAAUCAGUUAAGCGUCUGACUUCGACUCAGGUCAUGAUCUCGUGGUUCAUGGGUUUGAAACCCAUGUCAGGCU